CCCUACGGGUGGCUGCAGUGAGGAAUAUUGGUCAAUGGUCGGGAGACUGAACCAGCCAAGCCGCGUGAGGGAGGAAGGUACAGAGUAUCGUCAACCUCUUUUGUCAGGGAACAAAGGCGGGGACGUGUCCCCGGAUGCGUGUACCUGAAGAAAACGCAUCGGCUAACUCCGUGCCAGCAGCCGCGGUAAUAGGGAGGAUGCGAGCGUUAUCCGGUUUGAUUGGGUUAAACGGGUGCGCAGGCGGUCUGUUAAGUCAGAGGUAAAAGCCCGGGGCCCAACCCCGGCCCGCCGUUGAAACUGGCAGUCUCGAGUUGGAGAGAAGUAUGCGGAAGGCGCGGUGUGGCGGUGACAUGCAUAGAUAUCGCGCAGAACUCCGAUUGCGAAGGCAGCAUGCCGGCUCCACACUGACGCUGAGGCACGAAAGCGUGGGUAUCGAACAGGAUUAGAUACCCUAGUAGUC
rnacentral:rRNA from 1 species